rnacentral:rRNA from 1 species
AACGUGGAGACAGGUGGUGCAUGGCUGUCGUCAGCUCGUGUCGUGAGAUGUUGGGUUAAGUCCCGCAACGAGCGCAACCCUCACCCCUUGUUGCCACCAGGUCAGGCUGGGCACUCUAGGGGAACUGCCCCGGUCAACGGGGAGGAAGGUGGGGAUGACGUCAAGUCAUCAUGCCCCUUACGUCCUGGGCUACACACGUGCUACAAUGGCCGGUACAAAGGGAUGCAAGACUGCGAGGUGGAGCUAAACCCAAAAAGCCGGCCUAAGUUCAGAUUGGAGUCUGCAACUCGACUCCAUGAAGGAGGAAUCGCUAGUAAUCGCGCACCAGCACGGCGCGGUGAAUACGUUCCCGGGCCUUGUACACACCGCCCGUCACACCACGAAAGCCAGCUGUACUCGAAGUCGCUGAG